UAUAGCCUGCUUAUGGUUCUAAACAGCUGGGAUUUUAUAUUUAUGCAGAAUGUACCAUGUGUCACCAUGGCUACCAACACUUCUCCUCAUCUUUUGAAAAACCCAGACUCCAAAUAUUUAUUUCAAAGAUUUGGGGGGAAAACGGAUCCUUCCCACAUCUCUGUGAAAUCUCUCCCAUCUCGCCCCCACCCUUCUACUUGUAGACGUUUGCAUUGCCGAUUCAAAAAGCUGCAUAGAGACCUCCUCUGCCAUCUUCCUCAAAUCAAAGUUGUCUGCUAAGAAAGGAGGUCAAGAUGACUCCUGAGAUUUGUUUAAUGGAUUAAGUCAAGGUGUUUGAAGUUACCAAGUGGGAAAUCAUUUGGGCCCAUCUGGAAGUCAAAAGAAGAAAGAAGAUACUCAAAAGAAAAGGAAAAAAAGGUUUCAUUCUGCUCACAGCAUGCACAAAUGCCUGCUUUGGCAAAAGUGAAAGACCUAACCAACAGAGCCAAUGAUAACGAAUCAGGAUGAUAGGAUGUGCUACACAGCUGGUGAUACUGCAGAGAGAGAUCGUUUUCCAUUUUCAGCUUGGGCGAAUGAGUAUACGCACAGAAGAGAAAAACCGUGCCAUCAGCUGCCAAGGGCAUUUCUGUGAAAUCCUUGAUAGAGGAGAGAAGGAGAGAGUCGUGAUGGAGGAAGCACAGAAGAGGAGGACGGAGAAAAGGGGGGCACCAUGUCAUGGGACCAAUUCCCAGGGCUGAGUUUGCAAGCCCUGGAAUUGGAGCCAUAACAUCAACACUCCUGAAUGUCUCAUGAAAACACCUGGCAGCAGAGCAUGGGAACUCGGGGGUGAAAAUCAUAACAAUUAUAAUGAGUAGUUUGUGUGGGAAUAGUAGAAAUGUGAUACAGGGGGUGGGGUUUGGUGAUGAUAUUUACGUGUGAUGUUACGUUGCAACCAAGGUGAUAAAAUUGCUUGUAUGUAAACAUUAUGUCAUUCUCGACUUUUUCCAAGUCGUGUGUUCUUCAAUAAAGAUUGGUUUUGAUAGCA